rnacentral:lncRNA from 1 species
AUGCAAAUUCCUCCGCUGACUGACAGGUUUCAAACAGCCCAGCAAAAGCCAAUGCUGUUCUGCAAAAGCCGCCUCCUGCCAGAUUCCAGGAGCCUUUUCCAAAAUGUUUUGGCUAUGAGUACGCACAAGGACCCCGGAGGCUGCUGGGGGUGCCCAAGCUGCAGCGAAGCAACUUGCAAAGGAAGGGCUGAUUCCUCCCAUUCGGCUGAAAGAAUUGUUUCUGGAAGAAAACGGUGCAAAGGCCAGGGAAGGAUUAAGGACAAAUGAGGCCCUAGAUGGAGGCUCAGCAGCCGCUGCAUCCCACUGGCUGUGGUCCCGGCACCUCUCAGUGCAUUCGAUGGGGGGCUCUGCCCUGGCUGCCCGCACACCCCGAUGGGCUGCAGGAGCUGUUGAGUAAAACAGGGCAAAGCUGAUGUUUUUUUUUUUCCUUUUAAUACUGUUUUUAUUUCCAGCCAGACUCACUACUAGCAGGAUUCAGGCUAUUUAAAACUCUCUCUCCAUCCCGCAUUUGGGACACUCGUCUUCAGGCUGCCGAAGCUUUUAAGACAACACACAGCUGAGUUUCAAGCAGUGAGUUUGUCUGAGAGCACCUGAACAGAGCAACUCUCCAGAAGUGCACGUUUCUAACACAAAAUCACAUCCCUCUCCCCUACAAGAGCCUGCUACCUUCUCCUCACAGCGUCACAACCACCCUGUUCCUGGGCAAAAGCUUUAGCUGUGCUUUCCUCCACCCUGAAGGAGCCCGGCGUUGGCGCUACUUGCUCUAACGGGGGAUGCCUCCUCGUGCCCCACCGCGAGACCCUCUCCACCUCCUCGAGGGCCUUUUUAAGCACAGGCUACGCCCCUGCUUGCCCCUGCCUGCGCAUUACCGCCGGCGUUAAUUGGGAUCCGUCUCCUCUGCCUCCCCGCCAUCGGAGCCCCUUGCUGAACGCGGCGGCGGCGUGUGAAGCACACACCUUCCUAAUUGCGUUUAUUCACAGAUAUCAAAAGGAGAGGGAAGCAGUUGAGUAAAGGUCACAUUAAUAAUACAGGCUGAAAGCAAGUCUGGGGGUAUAUAUUUUUCAUUAGCGACACGUUUGACUGAAGGGGACGGUUCGUUUUCGGAUUGACAGUGUUUCUCUGGGAGGCCAUCAAUACAGUCGGAGAGAUUUCACUAUUUUUCUUGUCACAGCUCGCUGUCUGCUGGAA